rnacentral:rRNA from 1 species
UACGUAGGCAGCGAGCGUUGUUCGGAAUUACUGGGCGUAAAGAGUGUGUAGGCGGUGCUCUAAGUUCGGUGUGAGAUCUCCCGGCUUAACUGGGAGGGUGCGCCGGAAACUGGAGUGCUCGAGCGUGGGAGAGGAAAGCGGAAUUCCUGGUGUAGCGGUGAAAUGCGCAGAUAUCAGGAGGAACACCAAUGGCGAAGGCAGCUCGCUGGGACGGUACUGACGCUGAGACGCGAAAGCGUGGGGAGCAAACAGG